rnacentral:lncRNA from 10 species
GGUGGAUCGGGCGGAGGCCGUCAAGCUAGCCGGAAGGGGCUGUGCUGUCAACCAGCGAGCGCAGGAGGUGUUAACCACCGAAGGGAGGUAGAAUGUUUUUCCCCACCAGAGGAGGCAGCGACCACGUCUCCUCUAUGGAGGCAUUCAAGAGCCGUCCAGCUGAAGCAGCAUCACUGUCUGAGGUAAAUACCUGGGGUUCACCAUCUUGCACCAAGAAGAUUAAAGACAUGGACACAUGUGAGUGGGUUGAGGAGCGGAAAUUUUAAUAGGCUGAAGAAAGGAGAGAGGAGAGCAGCUUUCUCUCUCUUUCUAGAGAGAGGCAUCCAAAAGGGAAAAAGCCGGCCUGAGGUGGACCACAGCAGACUUGAUAGGCAGGCUUGAGGAGGCGGCGUCUGAUUUACACAGGGCCCACAGAUUGGUCUGAUCAGGUGUGACGUUUACAUAGCGCUCGGGGAAGGCUGGUCGUCCCACCCUAAUCUUAUUAAACAAAUGGGCUUUCUACUUGGCCAGUACCAUCUUGUCUGCUCCUUACUAUACACGCGGGUGGCAAAGACAGGAGAAGAUGGAGCCACCGUUUUGAACGUGUCUAUUCCCAGCUCGGAAGGCACAAUCCACAUAGGUCUGCAUGGUCCACCGAGCUGCAUACCCACGGGGCCAGCGGGAGGUGGGCAGCUGCUGGGCUCUCUUCUGAAGCAGACAGGAUCUCACUCUGUUGCUGAGGCUGGAUCACAGCUCCCUGCAACCUUGAACUCUCCCUCAAGCAAUUCUCCCCACUCUGCCUUCCAAAGCACUAGCAUUAUAGGCCUAAGCCACCACUCCCAUCCACUGUAGUGUAAACUGUCUCCUUCAAUGUUUCCAAUAGUUGCGGAGCAGAUCAGAUAAGGGUUCUUCCUGUCUGUUGCUUCAAGUUUCAUUCUCUCUUUAAACAAUACAAGGUUGGCUUCCAUGGUUCCUUCUUAAAGAAUGUUGAAGGUGUGUCUUCAGAUUCAUUUAGUGUUCGUGGAACCCCAGGGAAAGCUGAUGUAAAAACCUCUUUUUUCUCCCAUAUGUCUCAAAAAGUUGUAUUUUCUGGGUCCAAGGGAUCUGCAAGCCUCCUAAAGGCAUUUCCAUUGUCACUACCACCAGGUGUGAACUGUAAUCUGGCACGUAUAGUUCCAAGAACUGUCAUAAUAGAUGCUGAAGAAACAUUGUGAAGUUAACUCGCUGUUACCAACUGUGAAGUCAUUAGCUAGAGGAAUCUUGGGCGGUCUGAAAUCUGAGAUACUGUGGAAAGAACAGAAAGAUCCUGUAUCUUUCCUAUAAUUGUUCUACUGGAAGUUGUCAUUUUACACAGGAGACAUUCUGUUUUAUUUAUUUUCUUUUGAGACAGGGUCUCACUCUGUCGCCCAGGCUGGAGUGCAGUGUUGUUACCACAGGUCACUGGUGCCUCCACUGCCUGAGGACUGCUCAAGCAAUCCUCCUGCCUCAGUCCCCUGAGGAGCUGGGGCCACAGGCCUGCACCACCAUGCCUGGCUAAUUAUUUUUAUUUGUAGAGACAAAGUCUAUCUUGCCUAGGCUGAUCUCGAACUCCUGGGCUCAAGUAAUCCUCCCGCGGUGGCUUCUCAAAGUGCUUGGGAUUACAGAUGUAAGCUACCAUGCCCGGCCUCACAGGAGACAUUUUUGAUGUCCCUCUUGACAGUCUACAAAAGUCUACAAAUCUUUUUUUUUUUUUUUUUGAGACAGGGUCUUGCUCUGUCACCCAGUCUGGAAUGCAGUGGUGCCAUCAUAGCUCACUACAGCCUGAGCUGUACUGAGCUCGAGGGAUCUUCCCGUCUCCGCCUCCUAAGCAGCUGGGACUACAGGUAAUGGAAGUGGGCAGAGAAUGAUCCUUUCCCUAGGCUCCAGUGUGUAAGAAUUAAAGAAAGAGGAAAGAAACACAAUGGCUUGAUGGUCGAGGACAGGUUUAUUUUAAAGAAAACAAACCCAAGAGUGGCUUCUGGCUGAGUUAGAUCAGAGGCAUGCUCUCUUACAGACUAAGAGUUUUUAAGGAUUCAGGGUGGGAGAGUUUAUCAGAGGCUUGGACUGCUUCUGUGUCUCUUUAGGUGUGCUUAUCUGGGAGGGAGUUGUGUGUCUGUUUCCAUACAUCUUCCUGCAGCUGCAGGCAUACCCCCAGGUCUGCUUUUAGCUUCCCUAUCUUAGUGCACCUGAAGGGAAAGAAUGUGCUUAUUAAGGCCCACUGUUAUACUGGGGCCCAAUGUAUGAGGGUGAAGUUUGGCAAUUACCCAAGAGACUUUCCCCCCACCUCCCUCUGUGCCUGAGCUGUCUCAUCUAUGUUUUACUGUCUGCUCUUUCUGUCUGCUUGUUGUUAGAAGAGAAGUGAUUUUCUUGAAAUGCAUGAGGCUGGAAAGGGAGCUGGCACUUAAAGUGGCGGUGUUUGUCCGAGAGGAUGGUGCUCCUGCUCUGUCACAGUGGGCAUGGGGAUUCAGGCCACUGCCACCGAAUUUCAAGAGCCCAAGCACAGAGCCCAGAACUAAAUUGUGAGGGUUUAAAAAAAAAAAAAGCUUUAUUGAAGUAUAAUUGACAUACAAUAAACUUGAAUAUUUAAAGUGUACAAUUUAUGCGUUUGGGCAUUUGUAUAUACCCCUGCAACCAUCAGCACACUGAAGAUAAGGAAUAUACCCAUUACCCCUGAAAAUUUCCCCAUGCCCUUUGGAGCCCCUCCCUUCAACCCCUCAAAUACUUAAUGCGCUUUUUCCCGAAAGGCAAGAAGAAAGCUUCCCUACACAUUUAUCAAGGCUGUUAUAAUCCUGACUCCCAAACAAGGUAAGGAAAUUGUUAGACACUUAGAGAACACUUUCAACUAUUGUAUUCAGAUGUUAAAAUCCUCAGUAAAAUUCCCAUAACAGUUAAUUGAACAAACCAAUUAUGCAAAAACAUACAAUCAACUAUAAUUGCACCCUAUAGACUCCCCUUUUUAUUCUCUAAUGUGUUAUAUUCCACUAAAUCUUUCUUCAUCUUGCCAGUUUUUCUUCUAAUUUCCCUGCAGCUAUAAUUUUGGCUGAUGCUAUAGUUUGAAUAUUUGACCCUCCAAACCUCAUGUUGAAAUUUAGUCCCCAGUGUUGGAGGUGGGGCCUGGUGGAAGGUGUUUGGGUCAUGGGGGUGGAUCACUCAUGAACGGCUUGGUGCUGUUCUCAUGGCAAUGAGUGAGUUCUCACAUAAUCAGUUCCCUCCAGAGCUGGUUAUUAAAGAGAGCCUGGCAUCUCCCCUCUGUCUCUCUUGCUUCCUGUCUCAUCAUGUAAUGUCUGCACACACUGGCUCCCCUUCUGCCAUGAGUGGAAACUCCUGGAAGCCCUCACCAGAAGUAGAUGCUGUUGCCAGCAGAACCACGAGUCAAAUAAACCUAUUUUUAUAAAUUACCCAGCCUCAGGUAUUCCUUUAGAGCAACACAUAUGGACUAAGACAGUGAUGUUCUCAAUUUACCCUGACAUUGCAUGCAGGCCGGCUGUUUCCUCUUAAGUUCCCGGAGUGGGAAUGUGUUCCGGACAAAGGAUGCUAGUGAGUGGCAGUC